rnacentral:rRNA from 1 species
UACGUAGGGGGCGAGCGUUGUCCGGAUUUAUUGGGCGUAAAGAGCGUGUAGGCGGUUCGGUAAGUCUGUCGUGAAAUCCUGAGGCUCAACCUUGGACGUGCGAUGGAUACUGCCGGGCUAGAGGAUGGUAGAGGCGAGUGGAAUUCUCGGUGUAGCGGUGAAAUGCGCAGAUAUCGGGAGGAACACCAGUAGCGAAGGCGGCUCGCUGGGCCAUUCCUGACGCUGAGACGCGAAAGCUGGGGGAGCAAACGGG